ensembl:lncRNA
CCACUGUUUGUACUGCUGCUUUGGCUCCCAUAAUUGUCUUCUAUGUUUUUGUCCAUGUGGCUAUGGUUAUUUUUUAAUUUUUGUUUUUGGCCACAGUAUUUUGACAAGUUUGCUUUGUCUAUUAAACUGUUUGAAAAGCUGUGAUUGCUUCUGCAUCAAUCUUGAAAUGUGACAGAUGCUGCAGGACUGGUAGCUGAUGGACAACAUGCCAUGUGAACUGGUUGGUGCUGAUUGACGGGGCGGAUGUGUGUGACUGCACCUGACGCAUAUUGAACAGGGUGAUUGCUAACUCCCUGGCAAAGAACCUCAACUGGAGGGGUCAAUAGAAAGACUUCACUGGCAACUCUCCAACUUGGAGAGGUCGUGAUUAUGUAUAUCUGUUUGCAUACAGAAUUAGCUGUCCCUCUCAGAUUAUAUGUAAGGGGUAACCCACAGCAAGGUGUGCAUUAUACAAGUUUAAUGCAUAAUGUGGAGGCAAAGAACGACUCGUUCAACUCGUUUAAUG